rnacentral:rRNA from 1 species
UGGGGAAUAUUGGACAAUGGGCGCAAGCCUGAUCCAGCCAUGCCGCGUGAGUGAUGAAGGCCCUAGGGUUGUAAAGCUCUUUCACCGGUGAAGAUAAUGACGGUAACCAGAGAAGAAGCCCCGGCUAACUUCGUGCCAGCAGCCGCGGUAAUACGAAGGGGGCUAGCGUUGUUCGGAUUUACUGGGCGUAAAGCGCACGUAGGCGGACUUUUAAGUCAGGGGUGAAAUCCCGGGGCUCAACCCCGGAACUGCCUUUGAUACUGGAAGUCUUGAGUAUGGUAGAGGUGAGUGGAAUUCCGAGUGUAGAGGUGAAAUUCGUAGAUAUUCGGAGGAACACCAGUGGCGAAGGCGGCUCACUGGACCAUUACUGACGCUGAGGUGCGAAAGCGUGGGGAGCAAACAGG